AUUGAACGCUGGCGGCAGGCUUAACGCAUGCAAGUCGAGCGGGUGAAGGUAGCUUGCUACCGGACCUAGCGGCGGACGGGUGAGUAAUGCUUAGGAAUCUGCCUGUUAGUGGGGGACAACAUCUCGAAAGGGAUGCUAAUACCGCAUACGUCCUACGGGAGAAAGCAGGGGAUCUUCGGACCUUGCGCUAAUAGAUGAGCCUAAGUCUGAUUAGCUAGUUGGUGGGGUAAAGGCCUACCAAGGCGACGAUCUGUAGCGGGUCUGAGAGGAUGAUCCGCCACGCUGGGACUGAGACACGGCCCAGACUCCUACGGGAGGCAGCAGUGGGGAAUAUUGGACAAUGGGGGGAACCCUGAUCCAGCCAGGCCGCGUGUGUGAAGAAGGCCUUAUGGUUGUAAAGCACUUUAAGCGAGGAGGAGGCUACUUUAGUUAAUACCUAGAGAUAGUGGACGUUACUCGCAGAAUAAGCACCGGCUAACUCUGUGCCAGCAGCCGCGGUAA
rnacentral:rRNA from 1 species